rnacentral:tmRNA from 1 species
GGGGGCGACAGGUUUCGACGGGUUUGACGAGGGAAUCGCGGCGUGCCCAGGGUCUCAGUCACCUGGUAAAUCCACUGGGAAAGUCACAACUGCCAAUUCAAACCUGGCACUGGCUGCGUAAGCUUCGGCUUCACGCACCUGCGUGAGUGGCAGCCCGCCUGAGGCGGCGCUCACGUAUCGCAAAGUCGGGCUGGCGUGAUUCGGGGCCGCAACGGGUCACGUAAGAGUCAGCAGCGGCUUGUUGCUGCCGAGGCCGGCGAGGCGCCGAGGUGGCGAGACGCACUAAGCGUCGCCUACGCACGUAGAAGCGGUUUUGGAGUCUGGCUCGGACCGGGGUUCGAUUCCCCGCGCCUCCAU